CCUACGGGUGGCAGCAGUGGGGAAUAUUGGACAAUGGGCGGAAGCCUGAUCCAGCAACGCCGCGUGAGGGAUGACGGCCUUCGGGUUGUAAACCUCUUUCAGUACCGACGAAGCGAGAGUGACGGUAGGUACAGAAGAAGCACCGGCCAACUACGUGCCAGCAGCCGCGGUAAUACGUAGGGUGCGAGCGUUGUCCGGAAUUAUUGGGCGUAAAGGGCUCGUAGGCGGUUUGUCGCGUCGGGAGUGAAAUCACCGGGCUUAACUCGGUGCUUGCUUUCGAUACGGGCAGACUAGAGGCAUUCAGGGGAGAACGGAAUUCCUGGUGUAGCGGUGAAAUGCGCAGAUAUCAGGAGGAACACCGGUGGCGAAGGCGGUUCUCUGGGAAUGUCCUGACGCUGAGGAGCGAAAGUGUGGGGAGCGAACAGGAUUAGAUACCCUAGUAGUC
rnacentral:rRNA from 1 species